UACGGGGGGAGCAAGCGUUGUUCGGAUUUACUGGGCGUAAAGGGCGGGUAGGCGGCCACCGCAAGUCAGUUGUGAAAUCUCCGGGCUUAACCCGGAAAGGUCAACUGAUACUGCGGGGCUAGAGUGCAGAAGGGGCAACUGGAAUUCUCGGUGUAGCGGUGAAAUGCGUAGAUAUCGAGGGGAACACCUGCGGCGAAGGCGGGUUGCUGGGCUGACACUGACGCUGAACUGCGAAAGCUAGGGGAGCGAACGGG
rnacentral:rRNA from 1 species